rnacentral:rRNA from 1 species
UACGUAGGACCCAAGCGUUAUCCGGAGUGACUGGGCGUAAAGAGUUGCGUAGGUGGUUUGUAAAGCGAAUAGUGAAAUCUGGCGGCUCAACCGUACAGGCUAUUAUUCGAACUCACAAACUCGAGAAUGGUAGAGGUUACUGGAAUUUCUAGUGUAGGAGUGAAAUCCGUAGAUAUUAGAAGGAACACCAAUGGCGUAGGCAGGUAACUGGACCAUUUCUGACACUAAGGCACGAAAGCGUGGGGAGCGAACCGG